rnacentral:misc_RNA from 1 species
AUAUGGUGCUAGUUUGAGGAAGCAGAUUAAGAAGAUGGAAGUCAGCCAGCACAGCAAAUACUUCUGCGAGUUUUGCGGAAAGUAUGCCGUAAAGAGGAAGGCUGUUGGGAUAUGGGGUUGCAAGGACUGCGGAAAGGUGAAAGCCGGAGGUGCCUACACAUUGAACACUGCAAGUGCGGUGACUGUUAGGAGCACAAUUCGAAGGUUGAGGGAGCAGACUGAGAGUUAAGUUAGAUUUAUAUUUUGUUUUCCUUCUGUGUUGAGUUAUAUUACCGGUUUGAUAGUGUAGAGAGUUCUUGGAAGAAGAUUGUUCUGAGCAAUUUGACUUCAUUUCAAGUUGAGACUCCAGAGCUUUUAUUGAACUAGCUCUGCUUUUUUAGCCAGAUUAUUUGAAAGAAGUAUCCUGGAUUUUUG